UACAGAGGUCUCGAGCGUUGUUCGGAUUCAUUGGGCGUAAAGGGCGCGUAGGCGGCGGGGUAAGUCUGGUGUGAAAUCUCGGAGCUCAACUCCGAAAUGCACUGGAUACUGCUCUGCUAGAGGGCUGGAGAGGAGAUCGGAAUUCACGGUGUAGCAGUGAAAUGCGUAGAUAUCGUAAGGAAGACCAGUGGCGAAGCGGGUCUCUGGACAGUUCCGUGACGCUGAGGCACGAAGGUCAGGGGAGCAAACGGG
rnacentral:rRNA from 1 species